AUUGAACGCUGGCGGCAUGCCUUACACAUGCAAGUCGAACGGUAACAGGUCUUCGGAUGCUGACGAGUGGCGAACGGGUGAGUAAUGCAUCGGAACGUGCCCAGUAGUGGGGGAUAGCCCGGCGAAAGCCGGAUUAAUACCGCAUACGACCUGAGGGUGAAAGGGGGGGAUCGCAAGACCUCUCGCUAUUGGAGCGGCCGAUGUCAGAUUAGCUAGUUGGUGGGGUAAAGGCCGUCCAAGGCAACGAUCUGUAGUUGGUCUGAGAGGACGACCAGCCACACUGGGAGUGAGCCACGGCCAAGACUCCUACGGGAGGCAGCAGUGGGGAAUUUUGGACAAUGGGCGCAAGCCUGAUGCAGCAAUGCCGCGUGCAGGAAGAAGGCCUUCGGGUUGUAAACUGCUUUUGUCAGGGAAGAAAUCUUCUGGGUUAAUACCUCGGGAGGAUGACGGUACCUGAAGAAUAAGCACCGGCUAACUACGUGCCAGCCGCCGCCGUAACAC
rnacentral:rRNA from 1 species